rnacentral:rRNA from 1 species
UACAGAGGUCUCAAGCGUUGCUCGGAAUUACUGGGCGUAAAGGGCUCGUAGGCGGCCAACUAAGUCGGACGUGAAAUCCCUCGGCUUAACCGGGGAACUGCGUCCGAUACUGGAUGGCUUGAGGUUGGGAGAGGGAUGCGGAAUUCCAGGUGUAGCGGUGAAAUACGUAGAUAUCUGGAGGAACACCGGUGGCGAAGGCGGCAUCCUGGACCAAUUCUGACGCUGAGGAGCGAAAGCCAGGGGAGCAAACGGG